AGGUGGGCAAGGAGGCCCCUGGCUGACGCAGACGCAGCUGCAGACCUCACAAACCUCAGGCCACCAGUGCGUGAAGAGGUCCGACAGGUGCGCGAGGCUGUGAAGGGCAGGGCCCUUCGCAGCGCCCCUCUCCCUGGAGAUGGGGGUGUAGGGCCGGACAAGGCCAGUGGCAGGCGGUGAAAAGCGCCGUGAGAAGUGACACCCGCUUCCCCUCAAGAUGAAGUGCUCACAGCUAAAAGAACGGACGGAAAAGGACCCUAACCUGAGCAGCAAGAUCGUGGUCCUUGAGAGAGGGGAGCGCGCGGGGAGCUGCUCCGAGUCCUGGCCUGGAGAGAGUGGAGUCCUGGCCGGGAGGUGGAGCCCAGGCAGAGCCAGCCACCUGCCCAAGGUCCCACAGGGCAGGGGGGGUGACUGCGUGGAGAACCUCACAACGCAUGGACAUCGGCCAGAGGAGAGAGAGACGUGUCUUGCCUCUGUAGAGUUCCCCUCUACAACCCUAGAUUAAAAUGCAGUUCUGGUUUUGCCUCAAAAAGCCUGAAGUGAUCAGUUUCCAAGUAACUUAACUAUAUCCCAGAAAUAAGAAUAUCUAAAGGAAAACAAAAACAUCUUGCACCAACAAGAUAAAGUUCAUGCCUGGAAUCCAAUUAAAAAUUAUCAGCAUGAAAAGAAGCAGGAAGUUAUAACCUACACCAAGGAUAAAAAUCAAUCAACACUGAUCCAGAAGUGACUAAGAUGGCAGAUUUAGUAGACAGGCCUUUAUGCACACUUACUGUCACUACAUUCCACAUGCAUCAGAUGCUAGAGGAGGGGUUGAACAGCAUAAGUAGAAUCGCAGAAAGUAUUGUUUAAAAGCCUCCAGGUGAAUGUUUAGGGGUGAAAAUUAACGUCUGAGAUAAUACACUGGAUGGGAUCCAUGGCAGAUUUGACACUGCAAAAGAAAAGAUUAGUGAAGCUGAAGACGUGGCGAUUCAAACCUUUCAAAUGAAGCAGAGAAAAAUGACUGGAAAAAAUGAAGAAAGCAACAGAGAACUGUAGAACAACCUAAGUGGUGAAAUCCAAGUAUAAUUGGAGUCCCUGAAGGAAAGGAGACAGAGCUGGGAAACGAACAUUUGGAAAAAGUGGCCAAAUUUUUCCAAAUUUGAUGAAAAAUAUAAACUCAUAGUUCCAAAACCUCAACAAACCUCAAGCACAAGAAACAUGAAAAAAUAUAUGUAUACCACAGCAUGACAUUAUCAAAGUGUUUAAAAUUCGUUAUAAAGAGAAUAUCUUAAAAGCACCCAGAAAAAAAAAAAAGCAUGCAUUUUGUUUAAAGCCAAAAAGAUAA